rnacentral:ncRNA from 2 species
CGCACGGACACGGGGUGCGCCACAAGGCGCUGAGAUCACACCCGUGGAACCUGAUCUAGCUAGGACUAGCGAAGGGAAUGUCUGAAUGACCGACA